AUGUUGGAAGUAAGAGGUUUUGUACGAGCAGUAAUAGGGAUUGUAUCACUGUGGUGCACUUUUGGUAGUGGCACCAGACUUGAUGUUGGAAGUAACAGUGACCCCACCCUCACCGUCCUGCCCCCCUCUAGUGAGGAGCUGUCCAGUACAGCAACAGCCACACUAACGUGUCUGGCCAACAAGGGCUUCCCCUCAGACUGGACCAUGAACUGGAAAGUGGACGGGACUAGCAAYAUCCAGGAGGCCAGUCCCAGGGUCCUGGAGAAGGACGGUUUGUACAGCUGGAGCAGCACCCUGACUCUCACUGCCCAGGAGUGGACCAAGGCAGGAGAGGUGACCUGUGAAGCCCAGCAGAAAUCUCAGACUCCAGUCACCAAGACCCUGAGGAYGGCUGACUGUUCUGGGUAGGACCCACCAGUCACACACCCCUGUGGAGAGAGAUUGCUGGUUCCUCUGCUUUGACUUGCUUCYUUCUCUGAUUUAGUGAUCGCUCUCGUAUUGAAUAACAGGGGGCUUGGCUUGAGWUCAUGUGUCAAUCCAAUCUGUAGACUGAGAUUUUGUUCGUUUUAGAUUUGAUGUGAUCUYUUUUAUUCACUAUCAUGUUUGCUUUGAUGCUUCAAUUAUGUAAUAAUGGAUUCAAAUAAAGAUGUAUUUUUGCAAUCCAUAAUUGUGUUGUUUCUAUUAGUUACCUGGAUCAUAGAUAUAUUUGUAAUAUUCUGGAAAAAUAAAUGUCAUCAGUAAGGCUGAUUCAUGGUGUCUUUGAAAAUUGUCAGGCCUAAACCUCAUUCUCACUUAACAUCAUCAUUGACCAGUGAUUAACACCAUCUCAAUAUACUAUGAUAUAAUAGAAGAGGCUCUGCCAUGGUAGUAGUUGAUGACUGUCUUUACUCAUCAGGAUACUGAGUCUGUGUCAGACAUGUUUAACUUGACAGACUUUACAGC